rnacentral:rRNA from 1 species
UACGUAGGGUGCAAGCGUUAAUCGGAAUUACUGGGCGUAAAGGGCGCGUAGGCGGCAAUUCAAGUCAUCUGUGAAAUCUCCGGGCUUAACUCGGAACGGUCAGAUGAUACUGCUUUGCUAGAGUGCGGAAGGGGCAAUCGGAAUUCUUGGUGUAGCGGUGAAAUGCGUAGAUAUCAAGAGGAACACCUGAGGUGAAGACGGGUUGCUGGGCCGACACUGACGCUGAGUGCGCGAAAGCCAGGGGAGCAAACGGG